rnacentral:rRNA from 1 species
CCCAAACUGGGAUUAGAUACCCCACUAUGCUUAGCCCUAAACACAGAUAAUUACAUAAACAAAAUUAUUCGCCAGAGUACUACUAGCAACAGCUUAAAACUCAAAGGACUUGGCGGUGCUUUAUAUCCUUCUAGAGGAGCCUGUUCUAUAAUCGAUAA